rnacentral:rRNA from 1 species
UCAGGAUGAACGCUAGCUACAGGCUUAACACAUGCAAGUCGAGGGGCAGCAUUGGGAUAGCUUGCUAUUCCAGAUGGCGACCGGCGCACGGGUGAGUAACGCGUAUCCAACCUUCCCCAUAGUAGGGCACAGCCCGGCGAAAGUCGGAUUAAUUCCCUAUGCAGUCCAGAGAGGACAUCUGACCUGGACGAAAGAUUCAUCGCUAUGGGAUGGGGAUGCGUCUGAUUAGGUUGCAGGCGGGGUAACGGCCCACCUGGCCGACGAUCAGUAGGGGUUCUGAGAGGAAGGUCCCCCACAUUGGAACUGAGACACGGUCCAAACUCCUACGGGAGGCAGCAGUGAGGAAUAUUGGUCAAUGGACGGAAGUCUGAACCAGCCAAGUAGCGUGCAAGGAUGACGGCCCUAUGGGUUGUAAACUGCUUUUAUCAGGGGAUAAAGUGAGGUAUGUAUACCUUUUUGCAUGUACCUGAUGAAUAAGGACCGGCUAAUUCCGUGCCAGCCGCCGC